rnacentral:rRNA from 1 species
UACAGAGGUCCCAAGCGUUGUUCGGAUUCACUGGGCGUAAAGGGUGCGCAGGUGGGUUUGCAAGUUUGAUGUGAAAGCCCCGGGCUUAACCCGGGAAUGGCAUUGAAUACUGCAGAUCUGGAGGAUUGGAGGGGGGACUGGAAUUCUUGGUGUAGCAGUGAAAUGCGUAGAUAUCAAGAGGAACACCAGUGGCGAAGGCGAGUCCCUGGACAAUUCCUGACACUGAGGCACGAAAGCUAGGGGAGCAAACAGG